rnacentral:rRNA from 1 species
GACAGAGGGUGCAAACGUUGCUCGGAAUCACUGGGCGUAAAGGGCGUGUAGGCGGUCAGGUAAGUGGAAUGUGAAAGCCCCCGGCUCACCCGGGGAUCUGCAUCCCAAACUGCCUGGCUUGAGUACGGGAGAGGAUGAGGGAAUUCCUGGUGUAGCGGUGAAAUGCGUAGAUAUCAGGAGGAACACCGGUGGCGAAGGCGCUCAUCUGGCCCGAUACUGACGCUGAGGCGCGAAAGCUAGGGGAGCAAACGGG